rnacentral:misc_RNA from 1 species
GAAAUGCGAUAAGUAAUGUGAAUUGCAGAAUUCCGUGAAUCAUCGAAUCUUUGAACGCACAUUGCGCCCUCUGGUAUUCCGGGGGGCAUGCCUGUCCGAGCGUCAUUGCGAACCCCUCAAGCACGGCUUGUGUGAUGGGCCCUCCCACGUCUUGGUCGUCAAGACGGGCCCGAAAUGCAGUGGCGGCUUCGCGGUUAUCCGAUCAGCCAGAGCGUAUGGGGACUUUCUCUCUGUCACACGCCCGCGGCGCGGACCGACGCCUGUCGACCUUCAUUCAUCGUUUUCUCGGUUGACCUCGGAUCAGGUAGGGAUACCCGCUGAGCUUAAGC